rnacentral:tRNA from 1 species
GGGGAUUUAGCUCAGCGGUAGAGCGCUUGCCUAGGAAGCGCAAGGCCCUGGAUUCAGUCCCCA